UGACAUCGUAACAUGCAGACAAGUCAAUUU
rnacentral:piRNA from 1 species